rnacentral:rRNA from 1 species
GACGAAUGCUGGCGGCGUGCUUAACACAUGCAAGUCGAACGGAAAGGCCCUGCUUUUGUGGGGUGCUCGAGUGGCGAACGGGUGAGUAACACGUGAGUAACCUGCCCUUGACUUUGGGAUAACUUCAGGAAACUGGGGCUAAUACCGGAUAGGAGCUCCUGCUGCAUGGUGGGGGUUGGAAAGUUUCGGCGGUUGGGGAUGGACUCGCGGCUUAUCAGCUUGUUGGUGGGGUAGUGGCUUACCAAGGCUUUGACGGGUAGCCGGCCUGAGAGGGUGACCGGCCACAUUGGGACUGAGAUACGGCCCAGACUCCUACGGGAGGCAGCAGUGGGGAAUAUUGCACAAUGGGCGGAAGCCUGAUGCAGCAACGCCGCGUGCGGGAUGGCGGCCUUCGGGUUGUAAACCGCUUUCGCCUGUGACGAAGCGUGAGUGACGGUAAUGGGUAAAGAAGCACCGGCUAACUACGUG